UACGUAGGGUGCAAGCGUUAUCCGGAAUUAUUGGGCGUAAAGAGCUCGUAGGCGGUUUGUCGCGUCUGCUGUGAAAACUGGAGGCUCAACCUCCAGCCUGCAGUGGGUACGGGCAGACUAGAGUGCGGUAGGGGAGACUGGAAUUCCUGGUGUAGCGGUGAAAUGCGCAGAUAUCAGGAGGAACACCGGUGGCGAAGGCGGGUCUCUGGGCCGAAACUGACGCUGAGGAGCGAAAGCGUGGGGAGCAAACAGG
rnacentral:rRNA from 1 species